rnacentral:rRNA from 1 species
AGUGAACGCUGGCGGCGUGCCUAAUACAUGCAAGUCGAACGGAGUGGGCACGGGUGAGUAAUAUAUAGCUAACUUCCCAUUACUAAGGGACAACAGUUGGAAACGACUGCUAAACCUUAUAGUAAUGGAUAGGGCUAUAUCGUAUCAGCUAGUUGGUAAGGUAACGGCUUACCAAGGCUAUGACGCGUAACUGGUCUGAGAGGAUGAUCAGUCACACUGGAACUGAGACACGGUCCAGACUCCUACGGGAGGCAGCAGUAGGGAAUCUUCCGCAAUGGGCGAAAGCCUGACGGAGCAACGCCGCGUGAGUGAUGAAGGUCUUCGGAUCGUAAAACUCUGUUAUUAGGGAAGCGGUACCUAAUCAGAAAGCCACGGCUAACUACGUGCCAGCCGCCGCGGUAAUAC